rnacentral:rRNA from 1 species
ACAUACGACCAUAGGCAGAAGAGAAUACUGGAUCCCGUCUGCUCUCCACGCGUCAAGCUUCUGACCGGCAGAUUGGUAGUUGAGUCGGUAAGAAUCAGCGAACACAGGCUGUUGUUGUA